UACGAAGGGGGCUAGCGUGCUCGGAAUGACUGGGCGUAAAGGGCGCGUAGGCGGCUUGCACCGUCAGAUGUGAAAUUCCUGGGCUUAACCUGGGGGCUGCAUUUGAUACGUGUGGGCUUGAGUGCGGAAGAGGGUCGUGGAAUUCCCAGUGUAGAGGUGAAAUUCGUAGAUAUUGGGAAGAACACCGGUGGCGAAGGCGGCGACCUGGUCCGUGACUGACGCUGAGGCGCGAAAGCGUGGGGAGCAAACAGG
rnacentral:rRNA from 1 species